GGAAUUUUCCGCAAUGGGCGAAGGCCUGACGGAGCAACGCCGCGUGAGGGAUGAAGGCCUCUGGGCUGUAAACCUCUUUUAUCAAGGAAGAAGAUCUGACGGUACUUGAUGAAUAAGCCACGGCUAAUUCCGUGCCAGCAGCCGCGGUAAUACGGGAGUGGCAAGCGUUAUCCGGAAUUAUUGGGCGUAAAGCGUCCGCAGGCGGUCUGUCAAGUCUGCUGUUAAAGCGUGGAGCUUAACUCCAUUUCGGCAGUGGAAACUGACAGACUAGAGUGUGGUAGGGGCAGAGGGAAUUCCCGGUGUAGCGGUGAAAUGCGUAGAUAUCGGGAAGAACACCAGUGGCGAAGGCGCUCUGCUGGGCCAUAACUGACGCUCAUGGACGAAAGCCAGGGGAGCGAAAGGGAUUAGAUACCCCAGUAGUC
rnacentral:rRNA from 1 species